AAAACAGGUGUUUCAGGGGAGGAAGUGACGUCAGUGACAUCAGAUGGGGAACUGGACCAACGUAAAAUACACGAGAAUAAAGUUCCAGCCGUGGAAGACAUCACAGGCUAACUCGAUGCACAAAACAACCCCCCGGCUAGCGGGGUGGCGCUCCGAGCUCUGGAGACGGCACAGAGUGCCGUGAAGAUGCAAUUCCUCUCCACAUUAAUGUAUGAGUGUAAGUGUCUUUCAUGAAAAAUUCCAACUGGGUGAAAAAAUUCAAAGUAUUUCUGGAGUUCGUCAAAGAAUAAAUAAUUUCAAUGAACACAUAGCAGGGAGUACUCCUUCCUGACCAUGAGACGAACCGUAGGAAGCUGUGCUAAUGAGGAUCGUCGGGGGAGGCGAGAAGGGUGGUCGGAGGGGAAGAGGAGCAGAUGCACAAGAAGAGGCCCGGUUUAGCAGAAAUUUUACCCAUGUACAACGAUCCAACAACAUGCCCACAGAAGAAUGCCAUAAAACGGAUGCUCACGACCAUGAAAACUGACCCACCUUACAUGUCGUACGGUGGGGGGACUGGCAGAAUGACCAUCUUUGUGCCUGUCAAUAUACUGUGAGAACGUAACUGCAUAUAAGCAAAUGUGCCACUACAGUAUCUUUUUUUAAAAAAAAAAUCUGUUUAUGAUUUUAUUUGUUGGAGGAAUGAUCUGUGCCAAGCAAUCAGCUGGAUGCCAGAAACACUGAUGAGAAAGGCGGGUACUUGUUCUUGAGAAGCUCAGCCUGUUGGUCAGACAGAUACACGGGGACACGGUGUGUCCGGCAGCGCUGCCCGUGAGCGAAUGCCGUGCCGCUGAGAGCCCCCCAGAUGGCGAUGGCACAGAGGGGACCGUUGCCCAGCAUCGCUCUUCUAGUGCACGGCUGUCAGUAAGCCCUGCCGAUCCGGGGGACGCGGGGGGCUCGGGGUAGCUGGGCUCACCGGGAUAAGCAAGUGACAGUAGGUGGUCUGUGCCCACGAGAAAGUCUGAAGCCCCUUCGUCUUCCCAGAAGUUCAGGUUCUCCCACGUGGGGAACCCGUAGGACUCAGCAGCCAGAUACGGAUACGGCCUGGGAACUCGGAUGGC
rnacentral:lncRNA from 12 species